rnacentral:rRNA from 1 species
GAUGAACGCUAGCUACAGGCUUAACACAUGCAAGUCGAGGGGAAACGACAUCGAAAGCUUGCUUUUGAUGGGCGUCGACCGGCGCACGGGUGAGUAACGCGUAUCCAACCUGCCCACCACUUGGGGAUAACCUUGCGAAAGUAAGACUAAUACCCGAUGAUAUCUCUAGGACGACAUCUGAAAGGGAUUAAAGAUUUAUCGGUGAUGGAUGGGGAUGCGUCUGAUUAGCUUGUUGGCGGGGUAACGGCCCACCAAGGCGACGAUCAGUAGGGGUUCUGAGAGGAAGGUCCCCCCACAUUGGAACUGAGACACGGUCCAAACUCCUACGGGAGGCAGCAGUGAGGAAUAUUGGUCAAUGGGCGAGAGCCUGAACCAGCCAAGUAGCGUGCAGGACGACGGCCCUAUGGGUUGUAAACUGCUUUUAUAAGGGAAUAAAGUGAGUCUCGUGAGACUUUUGCAUGUACCUUAUGAAUAGGACGGCUAAUCCGUG